UGUUUACACCUGCCCCAGCGGUGGGUGUGGUUCCCGGGCAGGGUUGGGUCCAUCCGGGCCCGCCCCCUACUGCAUCAUAGGGUGGGGUUGCUACAGGUGUAGAGGGAGUGCACUCCCUCACCUGUUCAAGAUAUACCUUAUAUAAGCAGCCAGCCUCAUUGGGACAAAUCCAGAUCCCACGGCGACUGUAUUUGGUGGUUAUGACAGAUUUUGGCUGCAGGAAGACGUCAGCACCUCCUUCAAUAGGUGUCUCAACAUCCCUCCCUAACAGGAAGGCUACAGCUUCAACCAUUUUACCAUCUGACCAUCUUACCUCUGUGAGCUUUACAGAUAGCACAUGGUCUUCACCGCAACCUUAGGAGGGGAGCGCUCCCCCGCACCCCAACUUACCCAUCCCGGUGUACACGGUGGUGUCGGGCCCCCCUGUGACUCAGCCAGGCGCGUGUGCUCGUCCCCACCUGCUUGGCCUUGAUCCGCCAUCCCC